rnacentral:antisense_RNA from 1 species
GCACUGAACUCCCAGACUUAGCUGGGCCUCAGUGCUCUUCUUGGGUUUGGUCAUAGAGCCCAAGAGGAGGUGGAUAAGCUGCCUGACACUGAUAUGGUAAAAGGAUUAUCUGCAAAUUUCUAGCGUCAUCAAGACUGGCCUCUUUGAAGAGAUCAGCAAUGCGUUUAGAUGCUGAUGGAAGGAGCCAGAAAAAAGGAAAAGGAGAAUAUUGAGGUGAGACGAGAUCUCCAAAUGCCCAGGUCAUGACCCCCAGGAGACCUGGAGGACUGAAUGCUGCUGUCCCCAAGGAGGAGGCUGCCGUCUUAUCCCAGGAGGGAGAGCAGGUGAAGUCCCCAGGGGAGGAAGCACCUAGCCCCAUUCCUGCUGAGCAGGAGGUGGCAGGUACCCCAGACUGGGAGGUAAGGACAGCCCAGGGCUUCAACUGAACGUCUCCGGCAUGGGUCCGACUGAGCAGCCAUGGAGCACUGCAGAGUGGGAGGCAGCAGGGCAGGGAGGCAGUGCUGGAGGCUGGCUCAACCCCAAGACCAGCAGGCCAAGCUGCCAUCCCAGGGGAGCGAGGACGUCUGUGCAGAGCUGAGAGGCAGCAGCCAUAUGUGAACAGACUGGGCCUCAUCCUGGCCCCACCGACUUUGUGUGGACAGAGCCUGUUUCCCUGUCUGUGCAACACAGAACCUGCCUGAUCUCACUGCUGGAUCCCUCUUCUUCCUGCCAGGAAAAUAAAAAGGUUCAAAAAGAAGUUGCUGCGUAUCCAUCUG